CGCCUGUUUAACAAAAACAUGUUCUUUUGUUAGUUUAUAUAAGGUUUAACCUGCCCAAUGAAUAUUAAUUUUAAUGGCCGCGGUAUUUUAACCGUGCUAAGGUAGCGUAAUCAUUUGUCUUUUAAUUAAGGGCUUGUAUGAAGGGUUGGACGAGAUACAAACUUUCUUUAAUUUAAAUUUAGAAUUUAUCUUUUUAGUUAAAAGACUAAAAUGUUUUUGUGGGACGAGAAGACCCUAUAGAUCUUUAUAUUAUUUAUGGAUUAAAUUUAUUUAGUUUAUGUUUUUUUAAUUUAUUUUAUAUUUGGUUGGGGUGACUGCAGAAAAUAAAUAACUUCUGUUUUUAAUUUCAUUUAUUAGUGUUUUAAUGAUCCAUUUUUAUUGAUUAUAAGAUUAAGUUACCUUAGGGAUAACAGCGUAAUUUUUAUGGAGAGUUCAUAUUGAUAUAAAAGUUUGCGACCUCGAUGUUGGAUUAAAAUAAGUGUUGGGUGUAGCAGUUCAAUAACUAGGUCUGUUCGACCUUUAAUUUUUUACAUGAUCUGAGUUCAGACCGG
rnacentral:rRNA from 1 species